UACGGGGGGGGCAAGCGUUGUUCGGAAUUACUGGGCGUAAAGGGCUCGCAGGCGGCCAACUAAGUCCGACGUGAAAUCCCCAGGCUUAACCUGGGAACUGCGUCGGAUACUGGAUGGCUUGAAUUCGGGAGAGGGAUGCAGAAUUCCAGGUGUAGCGGUGAAAUGCGUAGAUAUCUGGAGGAAUACCGGUGGCGAAGGCGGCAUCCUGGACCGACAUUGACGCUGAUGAGCGAAAGCUAGGGGAGCAAACGGG
rnacentral:rRNA from 1 species